CAGCAGCCGCGGUAAAACGAAGGGUGCAAGCGUUACUCGGAAUUACUGGGCGUAAAGCGUGCGUAGGUGGUGGUUUAAGUCCGUUGUGAAAGCCCUGGGCUCAACCUGGGAAUUGCAGUGGAUACUGGGUCACUAGAGUGUGGUAGAGGAUAGUGGAAUUUCCGGUGUAGCAGUGAAAUGCGUAGAGAUCGGAAGGAACAUCUGUGGCGAAGGCGACUAUCUGGGCCAACACUGACACUGAGGCACGAAAGCGUGGGGAGCAAACAGGAUUAGAGACCCAGUAGUCCCUGUCUCUUAUACA
rnacentral:rRNA from 1 species